rnacentral:rRNA from 1 species
GAUGAACGCUGGCGGCGUGCCUAAUACAUGCAAGUCGAGCGAACAGACGAGGAGCUUGCUCCUCUGACGUUAGCGGCGGACGGGUGAGUAACACGUGGAUAACCUACCUAUAAGACUGGGAUAACUUCGGGAAACCGGAGCUAAUACCGGAUAAUAUAUUGAACCGCAUGGUUCAAUAGUGAAAGACGGUUUUGCUGUCACUUAUAGAUGGAUCCGCGCCGCAUUAGCUAGUUGGUAAGGUAACGGCUUACCAAGGCAACGAUGCGUAGCCGACCUGAGAGGGUGAUCGGCCACACUGGAACUGAGACACGGUCCAGACUCCUACGGGAGGCAGCAGUAGGGAAUCUUCCGCAAUGGGCGAAAACCUGACGGAGCAGCGCCGCGUGAGUGAUGAAGGUCUUCGGAUCGUAAAACUCUGUUAUUAGGGAAGAACAAAUGUGUAAGUAACUAUGCACGUCUUGACGGUACCUAAUCAGAAAGCCACGGCUAACUACGUG